ACUAUACUAAUGGAACAACAGCUCCUAGUUUUUACUAGGGGAGUGCCGUCGCGCAUCAUUUUCACGCAUGGUGCAAUAUGGAGAAAUUCAGGAGGAUGCAAAAGAAGAAAUUUACUCCUCCAGUCACUUGGACUGACCUUCAAUGAGAGUAAAACUUUCCUACGCUUUAUUUUAUUAGAUCUCUAAAAACUUCAUCCAUUUUCUCACAAUGUUUUGUGAUUUAUAAAAUUUUCCUGAAUAAGGGAUCGUCACAAAAGUUAUUUUUUUAAGGCCACCCCAUUAAAAUAGCUGUUUUCAGUACUUUCACAUUUGGGUAUUUUACAGAAAAUCUGGAUUUUUUUUUAUGUCCAUUAAAUCAUUAUCAUCUGUCCCGCGUAACUAAAUCCUCCACUUUUCCCGGUCACCAAUGUUCUUAACAAGAGAGAGAGGCUGGUCCAUUAUUUGCGUAGUCCAGCCAGCUUUUCUUCUGACAAACCUUUUUUCGUUUAUUCUCUUAAAGGAUAUUUUUUUUAAAGUUAGUCUUACAAAAUACAAUUCCAAACCAACUCAUGCAGUUAUCGUCUUUUCACAGUAUUGAGGAGUCAUCCUUUUUGCCAGCCAGAGUGUUAAUUGGCAAAAUUAUUAACAAGUAGAACCAUGCCAACCAGUUCUGAUGAUGUACCAGAAUGGCUCAAGGAUCAUACUUAUACUAUUUCUACUCUCUGGGCAGACAUUAAUAAUAUUGGCAUCCAUUCAAUAUUUAUUUUAUGUUUGGAAAUGCAAGAAAAAGGCAUGCAUUCCUGACAAGUCAAUGAUUGGUUGCACCUCUUAAAGAUAACUUUCUGUUAUGAGAAAAGAUGAGAUUCUUGGACUCCUGCAUAGCACCACCAGAAAGGAAAAUCCCAUCAUGUUGCAAAAUAAAAGUCUUGGACCAAUUUUAAUUUAAGAUAUAUAUAUUAUACUGUAAGCUCUAUACAUAUUUAUGUAUAUCCUGUCAUUCAGCCAACAGGUUUGGAUUUAGUAUUUCUUUAAAUCUGUUUGAUAUUGUACUUGAAAACUAUUAAUCUGAGCCCCAUUAAAACAAUAGGGAGUGCAGUGAAUGAGUGGUAAAGCACUUGGCUUCUGAACUGAGGGUUCCUGGGUUCAAUUAAGACUGGGAUUUUCAAUUUCAGAAUUCAAAAGGCUAGGGAUACAUGGCAAUAGUAAGGAAUAAGUAAAGGCAGUUUGGGGAUCCAUGGCUGAAUGGUUAAGUCAUGGGUUUGAAUCUCUGUGAAGACUCGGAUUAAAUUUUUUUUUAGAUUUUUGGGUGCCCCUGAGUCCACCUAACUCUAAUGGGUAGCUGACUUUUGUUUUGGAAAGUAAAGAUGGUUGGUUGUUGUGCUGGCCACAUGAUGCACUGGCCAAAGAAUCAAAUGACCUUAACAUCAUCGGCCCUAUAGAUUGUGACGUCUGAAAUGGGAUUUUUUUUUCAAAAGGUGGUUGGUUGUUGUGCUGGGUACAUGACACCCUCGCUAACCAUGGGGCACAGAAACUGAUAAACUUUAUAUCAUCUGCCCCAUAGAUUGCAAGAUAUGUAAGGGAAAUUUUACUUUUUUAAAAUUAAAAUAAGAAUCUAUCAAAAGUAAACAUAAAAUAUGGUGCAUUCUCCUUAAAACUAAAGCCUGGUGCGAAGGUUUAAAAUGUUGGCAAAAAAAAGCAACAUCAUAUAUAUUCUUAAUUCCCUUUGCAAAACUUACUGAGAAGAACAUGCAUGUUGUUCCCUCAUAAUUUUCUUGACAGAGGAAAUCUUGUUUAUAUUAGAUUUGAAUUAAGCAAAUUAAGAAAAAAAUUAUAAUCAUUAUUUCAAAUGGUUGUAUCUAAACCUUAUGAAUUAUUUUUCCGUUAUAAGUAUAUUGAGAUUAAUGGAUAAUCAUGAAAUUGUUAAAUAAUUGCUGCUAUCAUUCCAUUGACUAAAGAACCAUAAUUUUUUUUUUUUUUAAAUUAAUUUCAAAAUGAUUUUUUUCAAGCAUAGAGUUCACAUAGAUCUUGAGCGAAUUUUUUUUUUUUAUUUGACUAAUGCUUCAAUUUUAUUGUAUCAUAUUAGUUGUUAAUUUUUAUUACCCAGAACAUUUAAAAAAUGAGUACACUAUUUUCAUGUAAUAAUGUAACUUGGUAUUCACACAAUGCUCAAAAUACACCAUAAUCUUUAGGCCAUACAGAUUUGUAUAAAUUAACUUGUUUAAAUACAUUGUAAAUGUAUAUUGUUUGGAUAAGAAUAAAGUUUUUCUGUAGACAAUUAUUGUUCAAGAUUUGUUGAUGCUCCUGCUUAAUCAAUUAUAUAUACAGGUCAUUAGUUUUAACACGUCUGAUAAUAAAUGACAGUACAAGUUAGUGAAUGAAAAUUUGUCAUUAUUUCAGCUGCUUUAGUCCUACAUCAAUGUGAGGUACCAGUACUUUGAUUGUGUCAUAUAACAAUUUAAAGCAACAUUUUGAAAUGAAUAGUCUGUAGAAUUGACAGUAAAUACAUUUAAGUGAUGGGCUGUGAUCUGCUUGAAUUGGGAGCUGAUCAUGUAUUGAAUUUGUGUUUUUGAUCUUUACUUCAAGUAAAUGUUAAUGAGCAAUUAAUUUUUAAUGAAUAAAUAAUUUAAAAAUAAAUACAAAAGAACCAUAAACAUCUACUUUAGUUU